rnacentral:rRNA from 1 species
AUCUUGAGGUGUAAUGCUUACACUUUCAUAUAUACCACCAAAGAACUUAGGAAGGUGAAGAAGAAACCUUUCCACCCGUAUCCUUAGUUUAAUACACAAGUUGAUAUAUACUACACUUCUAGCUCCUUGUGUACGGUUAACUAGAGAAGAUAACUAACCUUCGAAGGUUUAUUUAUAGAAUGAAUAAUCCAAGAGGCAAAUAAACCUUCCUUAAACUCCCAUUCUACACCCAUCUGCUUUGCUUCUCGGAGGCCUCUCCCUUUAAUGAGAAGUCAGAAGGAAAAUGAGGAGACUCUCGUUUAAGGAAGUUUAAGAGUUAAUAUCUAAACUAGUACAGUAGAGACUGUAUAAUUUAAUAACAAGACUCUUAAAUUAUACAGUCUGUUCAUAGGGUACCUACUAGCUUCUGUGUUUUCUAAUCUAUGACAUUCAUAAUUGUCUGCCCGGACUACUAGGGUAUGCUAAUCGCUAUUCGCUACCCGAGCCUUGUCCCUCAACGUCAGUUUUACAUAGAGGAUGCCUUCGCCGUU